AGCUCUGUAUGUAUAAUGCAGGGAGCUCUGUAUGUAUAGUGCAGGGAGCUCUGUAAGAUGGAGCUCUGUAAUAUAGUGCAGGGAGCUCUGUAGCCAGGCAGUAAAGCUGGGCUUUUUUUGCAGAGGCAGAGUAAUAAAUGUGAAUAAAAGCAGGCUCCAGUUGUGUUAAAAUAAAAUAAGAAGAGCUAAAAGAAAGUGUGAGUUUGGAGGAUGUGAAUGAGAAUCCGUGAAUAAGAAGAUGGAGUGAAUGUGAGAGAAUGUAUGCAAAGGACAUGUAUUGUAGGAAGAAGUCCAUGUGUACUGCAGGGAGCUCUGUAUAGGGGAGCCCAUGUAUAGGGCAGGGAGCUCUCUGAGGGAGCCCAUGUAUAGUGCAAGGAGCUCUGUAUGAGGGAGCCCAUAUACAGUGCAGGGGAGCUCUGUAUGUAUAGUGUAGGGAGCUUUGUAUGAGGGAGCCCAUAUAUAGUGCAGGGAGCUCUGUAUG